rnacentral:rRNA from 1 species
UAACGAAUCUUCCGCAAUGGGCGCAAGCCUGACGGAGCAAUGCCGCGUGUGGGAUGAAGCGUCUCUGACGUGUAAACCACUGUCAGGGGUUAGAAACAAUGAUCAACCCCAAAGGAAGUGGCGACUAACUCUGUGCCAGCAGUCGCGGUAAUACAGAGGCCACAAGCGUUAGUCGGAAUCACUGGGCUUAAAGGGUGCGUAGGCUGGUCCGCAAGCGUCUUGUGAAAGCCCUCGGCUCAACCGAGGAACAGCAGGGCGAACUGCGGAUCUUGAGGCAGGUAGGGGUCGCGAGAACAGUAGGUGGAGCGGUGAAAUGCGUAGAUAUCUACUGGAAUGCCGAUGGUGAAGACGCGCGACUGGGCCUGUCCUGACGCUGAGGCACGAAAGCGUGGGGAGCAAACAGGAUUAGAUACCCGGGUAGUCCCUGAGCGGGCUGGCAAGGCGCAU